rnacentral:rRNA from 1 species
UACGAAGGGGGCUAGCGUUGCUCGGAAUUACUGGGCGUAAAGCGCACGUAGGCGGUCUUUUAAGUCGGGGGUGAAAUCCUGGAGCUCAACUCCAGAACUGCCUUCGAUACUGGAAGACUUGAGUCCGGGAGAGGUGAGUGGAACUGCGAGUGUAGAGGUGAAAUUCGUAGAUAUUCGCAGGAACACCAGUGGCGAAGGCGGCCUGCUGGGCUGUUGCUGACGCUGAGGCGCGACAGCGUGGGGAGCAAACAGG